AUUGAAAAAUUCGAAUGAUCCUGCUCACUUCCCCCAAUUUUCAUUUAUUCCCUCCAAAUGCCAUUAACUUCCCCAAAUUUCCAUUUUAUAAGAACAUCAUGCCCUCUCCAUGAAGAUGUCCAGUCGAGCUCCUUUCUCUCCACUCUCUUUCAUCUCCACUGAUGAUGACCGAUCCAUUCUCCAAUUCGCCACCCGCGUUCUUCUCACCGGCGUCAUGUCCGUCUUCCUCUUCCACUCCUCCCGCCGCGGAGCAAAAUACCAAAGAACUUGUUUGAUUUCUAACCAAUUCUUUUAGUUAGUUUGUUUUAUUUCAAUAUCUAGGGUUUAGUUUGUGGUAUGUGAUGCGUAUUUGAACCUAUGGAGCUUUUGAGUCAGUAUUAGCGAUGACUGAAUUGGGGAUUGUGCAUGUUCAAUAGACGUUGAGAUCUGUUUGGCGUUCGCUCUUUGCCCUGUGAUGAACACCUCUCUCACAGCUACUGCUACUGUUGUCACGACUAUAGAUAUUCUCAAGAACAGUGGAUUUGCCAUUGAGAAGAGUAAGAAUAUUUAUGACUGCUAAUUGUUAUUAUAUAAGUGUGGGAUGUGUGAAAUGUAUGUGUUUUUUUUUAUUAUUGUUGAUUCAAAAAGUAGUUGCAGAGAUUAAGACAUAAAAAGAUAAUCUAGAAGACGGGUCAUCCUAAAAGCCAAGGUAAAUUGAUAUAUGUUAAUAUUGUUAUUUACUUGAUAAAUGAUUGGCAGUAUAAGGACCGAGAGAAUGAGAACCAAACUGGUGGAGAUCCUGAGAAGCAUUUUUUAUGCUGCAAGAUUGAAUCAUAAAUUUUGAUUUGCAAACUUUCUAUGCAGCACGAAGCAUCAAUAAUAUUCUAGAGCCUGUAUCGACUUUAAGUGGCCGGAUGAUGUCAUUGAGUUUGCAGAUUGGAUGCACCUUCACAGCACGUUCCAAAGCAAUGGUCUAAAAAAGACGGUCGUGAAGGGACAAUAUGGAAAGAUCCCAAGUAUCGUGAACUAGAACAUGAUUUUAUAGAACUGAAGAUGAUCAAGCUGGAAAUUUCUACGGUUUCGAUUGCAAAUAUGAAUUGAAGACAUCGAAGGAGUUGUUUGGGUUGCAAGUACGAAGUCAUUGAAAGUUAUUGUAUCACUCUCAUCUAUAGAGAUAUAUGUAUUUGUGUUACUUUGAAACUUUUGUAAUUUAUAUUAUUUGGUUAUUUUAUAUUGGUUUUAAUUUAAUUUAA